UGAUGCAGCCAUGCCGCGUGUGUGAAGAAGGCCUUCGGGUUGUAAAGCACUUUCAGUAGGGAGGAAGGUAGUGUAGUUAACACCUGCACUAUUUGACGUUACCUACAGAAGAAGCACCGGCUAACUCCGUGCCAGCAGCCGCGGUAAUACGGAGGGUGCGAGCGUUAAUCGGAAUUACUGGGCGUAAAGCGCAUGCAGGCGGCCUGUUAAGUCAGAUGUGAAAGCCCGGGGCUUAACCUCGGAAUUGCAUUUAGAAACUGGCAGGCUAGAGUCUUGUAGAGGGGGUAGAAUUUCAGGUGUAGCGGUGAAAUGCGUAGAGAUCUGAAGGAAUACCAGUGGCGAAGGCGGCCCCCUGGACAGAUACUGACACUCAGAUGCGAAAGCGUGGGGAGCAAACAGGAUUAGAUACCCUGGAG
rnacentral:rRNA from 1 species